rnacentral:rRNA from 1 species
GACGAACGCUGGCGGCGUGCUUAACACAUGCAAGUCGAACGGAAAGGCCUCUUUCGGGGGGUACUCGAGUGGCGAACGGGUGAGUAACACGUGAGUAACCUGCCCUUGACUUUGGGAUAACUUCAGGAAACUGGGGCUAAUACCGGAUAGGAGCUCCUGCUGCAUGGUGGGGGUUGGAAAGUUUCGGCGGUUGGGGAUGGACUCGCGGCUUAUCAGCUUGUUGGUGGGGUAGUGGCUUACCAAGGCUUUGACGGGUAGCCGGCCUGAGAGGGUGACCGGCGACAUUGGGACUGAGAUACGGCCCAGACUCCUACGGGAGGCAGCAGUGGGGAAUAUUGCACAAUGGGUGGAAGCCUGAUGCAGCAACGCCGUGUGCGGGAUGACGGCCUUCGGGUUGGAAACCGCUUUCGCUCAUGACGAAGCUUUGUGUGACGGUAGUGGGUAAAGAAGCACCGGCUAACUACGUG